rnacentral:rRNA from 1 species
CAAAAACAUGUCCUGUUGAUUAUAUUUUAAUAGGUCAGGCCUGCUCGGUGAUAAUUUUAACAGCUGCAGUAUAUUGACUGUGCAAAGGUAGCAUAAUCAUUUGUCUUUUAAUUGUGGACUGGAAUGAACGGCUUAAUGAGGUUCUUGCUUUCUUUUAAUAUAAUUUUUGAAUUUUGUGUUUGUGUAAAAAAACAUAAAUAUUGUUAUAGGACGAGAAGACCCUAUAGAAUUUUAUUAUUUACUUAAUGUAAUGAAUUUAUUUAUUAUUUUUAAUUAAUUAAAUGAUUUUGUUGGGGUGACAGAGAGAUUUUUAACACUCUCUUUUUUUAUUAUUUAUUGAUGUAUAUAUUUAUGAUCCUAUUUAUAGAUUAUAAGAUUAAAUUACCUUAGGGAUAACAGCGUAAUUUUGUUGGAGAGUUCUUAUUGAUAACAUAGUUUGCGACCUCGAUGUUGGAUUAAAAUUAGGAAUUAGUGCAGCAGCUAUUUUUCUAGGUCUGUUCGACCUUUAAAG